GAUUUGUGGGCAAGAGAUGGAAAGACUUGCAGAGGAAGUGCUGUCAAGAAGGUAUAUUUCACUGGUUAGUGGAAAGACGAUGGCUGUUUUAGACAAUACUGGUACUUGACUUCCUGCGAGCCUGAAUGGAAGUGCAGUCCGCCCUGUAGUGCAUGACAAGGAACCUAUCUGAACCAUCAGCAACAGUUUCCCCAAAAUAUUGGGAUCUCUACAGAAAGACAGGCAAGUCUUACCCUCAUGUAAGUCACAGAGGAGAGACCAAAAUAAAGCUGAACCAAAAGCUGGACUUCCUGAGAUACAUCAACCACCUUUGUCAGGAAAACAGGGGGAGGGCUAGCCUGCAGUCUGAAUUUUGACCCCAUUGUGCUAUUAUUCUGUCUGUCCCUUAGGCCCACAGUGUGGUAUGGGGGCUUGGUGUGUUUGGGAUAUUUCCACUGCCUGCAGACGAAAAGCUUGUAGAGGUUGGGAGGUUCUGUGUGAGACAUCCAGAUGUGCCCGCAACCAAUGCAUGGGAAUAUUUGGAAAAACUGGAUGCUUCCUUGCAGCCUGGCAGAUAUGAAAGGCACUGUCACAGAAUAUUGACAAGAAUAGAGCACAGCUGCAGUUGCUCAGGGUUUGACAUAUACUAACUACUGCUAUAGCAGAGCAAAAUGAGGCCUUGAAAGAGGAUGUGAAAAAUUCAACAUACAGAUUAAGAAACAGAUGAAGGUGAAAAUCAAAAACUUGAGCAGAAGAUCACAGAAUUGAAAGCUGAUGCACACUGCAGCAUCUGAUGCCCUGGCUGAAAAAGCUGAGAAAUACUGUGACACAUCAAAGAAGCAGCAAUGCCAGAAAAGGACCUUGGGAUGCUGCUGAGCGAUGUGGAGAAUGAUUGUCAGAGGGGAGGCAAUGUAUGCAAUUCUGCCUGAUCUCUCUCCAGACACGAGUGGGGCAAGUAAGCAUGCAUCAGAGACAGUACCCGUCUCAGAAGGGAAGAGAAAACCACGCGUACGCUAACAUGGAUGCAGUAACUAAGGCAAGUGAGGUGCAGUGGGACAAAGGCUGGCCAUCCAUCCACUCAUGGAUGUCUUGCGCAGUAGCUGGGGAACAAGCCCAGAUUUCUCAAGCCUCAGCACAAUGCCUGAAGUACAUAAAUUGCUUUCUCCUCUUCUUUUCUUGUUGUCUUCUACCCCGGGAGGUUACUGAACCGAAAGCCUGCCUUUUCAUAAUGAGGCCAGAGUACACUGGAAUUAUCUCCGAGCAUCAGUUAAUAAAUAGCAGGAUAAAAGGUGAAGAGCUGUCUGGGAGUGAUGUGCAGUGGCUCUUGCCAUCGGAUCUGCAGAGAGCAGCAGCCCGCUCCUGUGCAGGUUGCUGGCAGGGGGAGAUGAGAGCCAGGGCAGGAGGGUGCACCUUGCCCCGGUUCAGGCAGCUUGGCCGUGCGCCUUGUGCAAUUAAACUAAAUUGCCAGAUUCUGUUACCUUUUCCCCUCUCGGAAAGCAAGAAUCCAGAUUGUUGUCAGGCUACGGCUGCUAAUGAGACCGAGCUAUGCGGCGGCAUGUUUAGUUUACCCUCUGCUGUGGUGCAGGAGAGUGGAAUUAGUGAUGGUGGGCCACAUCGGUGGGGAAAACAAAAUCUCACAACCUGCUCUAAGAGAAAGUCAUUGACUUCACAUUAGUGGCUGUAGUGAGCAGUUACACAGUUAGCACUGACCAUCUGAGCAGGAUGUGGGAACAAUGGAAACGAAAGUGUUAUUUACUUUGUAUUCACUUUAUCAUAGAAUAGCAGAAUGGUUAAGGUUGGAAGGGAGCUCUGGAGGUCAUCUGGUCCAACACCCUGCUCAGACAGGGCCACCUAGAGCAGAUUGCCCAGGACCAUGUCCAGGAGGCUUUUGAAGAUCCCCAUGGAAGGAGACUCCACAACUUCACUGGGCAACCUGUGCCAGUGCUCUGUCACGCACAGCACAGAAAUGCUUCCUGAUGUUUAGGCGGAACCUCUUGGGUUGCAGUCUGUGUCCUCUGCCUCUUGUCCUGCAUCACUGAGCACCACUGAGAAGCGCCUGGCUCUGUUCUUUUUGCACCCUCCCUUCAGGUAUUUAUAGACAUUGGUGAGAUCCCCCCUCAGCCUCCUCUUCUCCAGGCUGAACUGUCCCAGCUCUCA
ensembl:lncRNA